AAAUUGAAGAGUUUGAUCAUGGCUCAGAUUGAACGCUGGCGGCAGGCCUAACACAUGCAAGUCGAACGGUAGCACAGAGAGCUUGCUCUCGGGUGACGAGUGGCGGACGGGUGAGUAAUGUCUGGGAAACUGCCUGAUGGAGGGGGAUAACUACUGGAAACGGUAGCUAAUACCGCAUAACGUCGCAAGACCAAAGAGGGGGACCUUCGGGCCUCUUGCCAUCAGAUGUGCCCAGAUGGGAUUAGCUAGUAGGUGGGGUAAUGGCUCACCUAGGCGACGAUCCCUAGCUGGUCUGAGAGGAUGACCAGCCACACUGGAACUGAGACACGGUCCAGACUCCUACGGGAGGCAGCAGUGGGGAAUAUUGCACAAUGGGCGCAAGCCUGAUGCAGCCAUGCCGCGUGUAUGAAGAAGGCCUUCGGGUUGUAAAGUACUUUCAGCGGGGAGGAAGGUGUUGUGGUUAAUAACCACAGCAAUUGACGUUACCCGCAGAAGAAGCACCGGCUAACUCCGUGCCAGCAGCCGCGGUAAUACGGAGGGUGCAAGCGUUAAUCGGAAUUACUGGGCGUAAAGCGCACGCAGGCGGUCUGUCAAGUCGGAUGUGAAAUCCCCGGGCUCAACCUGGGAACUGCAUUCGAAACUGGCAGGCUAGAGUCUUGUAGAGGGGGGUAGAAUUCCAGGUGUAGCGGUGAAAUGCGUAGAGAUCUGGAGGAAUACCGGUGGCGAAGGCGGCCCCCUGGACAAAGACUGACGCUCAGGUGCGAAAGCGUGGGGAGCAAACAGGAUUAGAUACCCUGGUAGUCCACGCCGUAAACGAUGUCGACUUGGAGGUUGUGCCCUUGAGGCGUGGCUUCCGGAGCUAACGCGUUAAGUCGACCGCCUGGGGAGUACGGCCGCAAGGUUAAAACUCAAAUGAAUUGACGGGGGCCCGCACAAGCGGUGGAGCAUGUGGUUUAAUUCGAUGCAACGCGAAGAACCUUACCUACUCUUGACAUCCAGAGAACUUUCCAGAGAUGGAUUGGUGCCUUCGGGAACUCUGAGACAGGUGCUGCAUGGCUGUCGUCAGCUCGUGUUGUGAAAUGUUGGGUUAAGUCCCGCAACGAGCGCAACCCUUAUCCUUUGUUGCCAGCGGUCCGGCCGGGAACUCAAAGGAGACUGCCAGUGAUAAACUGGAGGAAGGUGGGGAUGACGUCAAGUCAUCAUGGCCCUUACGAGUAGGGCUACACACGUGCUACAAUGGCGCAUACAAAGAGAAGCGAACUCGCGAGAGCAAGCGGACCUCAUAAAGUGCGUCGUAGUCCGGAUUGGAGUCUGCAACUCGACUCCAUGAAGUCGGAAUCGCUAGUAAUCGUAGAUCAGAAUGCUACGGUGAAUACGUUCCCGGGCCUUGUACACACCGCCCGUCACACCAUGGGAGUGGGUUGCAAAAGAAGUAGGUAGCUUAACCUUCGGGAGGGCGCUUACCACUUUGUGAUUCAUGACUGGGGUGAAGUCGUAACAAGGUAACCGUAGGGGAACCUGCGGUUGGAUCACCUCCUUACCUUAAAGAA
rnacentral:rRNA from 1 species